rnacentral:rRNA from 1 species
GAUAGAACCUGCAGAGCCCAUGUGGCUACGGGGUUCUUUUCCAACUCGGAACUUGUCAGCUGCGUAAUACAGGAAUGGCGGGCGGUGCGUAAGGUACCGUUCGAAGACCCGAACAAGGGAGACUGGAGUUAAGGUCCCAAAAUGUAUGCUAAGUGUAGCAAAGGGAGUCUUGAACCUGAGACAGUAGGGAUGUAGGCUUAGAAGCAGCCAUCAUUUAAAGAAAGCGUAACAGCUCACCUAUCGAGGUUCGAGGCCCCGAAAAUGGACAGGGCUAAGCAUACUACCGAUACUUCAGAGGCGCUCGUAAGAGCGUUCUGGUAGGCAGGCGUGCCUUCUGCGUAGAAGUUUCUCCGAGAGGAGGAAUGGAGCGGGAGGCAACGAGAAUCUUGGCGUUAGUAAGAUCAUAUUACCCUGAGAAUGGGUAACGUCGAAAGAGCAAGGUUUCCUUGGCACUAAUCGUUAACCAAGGGUUAGUCGGUACCUAAGUCAUCCCUUAACUGGCGAUGGCGAAUGGACAUCCGGUUAAUAUUCCGGAACUUUUUAUAUUCGUCGACGUACAAAUUAGCUUUGGGAUAGGUAGAAACCCGAGAGGGUUUUCACGUAGGAAAGAUGUGGAUCGUAAUGAUUAGAAACAUCUGAAUUGCGUGACGCGAGCUGCUGAUUCCUGGAGCCCAUGAAAAGAUUAGUACUGAGAAUAUAAAUAGCCGUACCAAGAACCAGCACAGGUGCUCUAGCUGAGAAGGCUAAGACGUGAAAGGACAAUCCGGUUAAGGGAAUUCGGCAUAUUGGCCCCGUAGCUUCGGUAGAAGGGGUGUCUAUAGAUGUUUUUGAAUUAUCAAAUGCAUUCGUAGAUUGCAAUAACAAGGACCGCCCGACUGUUUAUCAAAAACGUAGCCGAUUGCAAAUCCUAAAGGACUAGUAUAAUCGGUGAGACCUGCCCAGUGGUGGUGUUUCAAACUUCUGUUCAAAGGAGCUAAGACCCAUCAAACGGCGGGCCUAACUAUGAGGCUCUUAAGGUCGAAUGGCAUACAAACUGCCUUACAUUAUCGUCGAUAAAAAGACGAUAAUGCUUCAAGCCAAUAGUUAAAUGAUAAAUAGAAAGGAAAAUAAACCAAUAUGAAGAAAAUCGAGCUAUAUGCUGGAACAUCUGAGAAUUCCACUCUACAACGACGACAAGAAUUUAUAUUGUCGGUUCGCGUGAAAAUGAGAUGGAUGCAGACAACCAAGCAGGAAAGGCUCAGUAUGAUAAAAGUUUUAUCGAUAUAGCUUAUUUAUUUGGUGUUUAUCUCGGAGAUGGCUGUUGUCCUAAAUCUAGAGGUUAUAUGUUUAGAAUAGUGUCAGCAGACAAAGAUGUAAUUGAAAAAACAAGAACUAUUGUUAAUCAAUUAAUAAAUAGAAAUAUUUCUAUUAAAGAGAUAAUGCCUAACAAAACUAAACUUUACGAUUUUAGAGUUUAUGAUAAAAAACUAUUUGAGAUGUUAACAUCUCAAACAAAUAGAAAAUCUAAGAUUCCAGAAUUUGUUAUUAAUUCAGAUAAAAAGAUAAAAUCAGAGUUUAUAGCAGGUUUAAUGGAUACAGAUGGUUACAUAAGCACUGGAACUAACAGGUUUGGAUGGCAAAGAUUUUCUUUGGGAUUUAUUAAUUCUGGAAAGUGGACAGAUCAAUUUAUUAUACUUCUUAGAGAUACUGGAAUAAAAGUUGGUAAAAAAACUUUAAAGAAAAAGUAUAGAAGCAUAAAAGAAAAGGACUGUUACCAAAUUAAUAUUAACUUAAGAAGUUUUGUUGAAAACAGCUUAUAUUUUAAAUGUCAAAGAAAACAAGAGUUACUUGAAAAAUAUAAAGUAAACGUAAAAUAUCAAUCAUAUUGAGAAUCCUCAGAGACUAUACGCUCGAGAUAAUUAAUAAUUAUCAAGAUAUAGUCCGAACCUUAUAGCGAUAUAAGGAAGUUAAUAGAAAUAUUAAUUCGUCAUAAUAAAUACAGUUAUGGCAGUAACAAUCAUUGAGCGUAAUGCCUUGUCGUCUGAAUGGCGACGUGCAUGAAUGGUUUAAUGAGGUGGUCACUGUCCCUAACCGGCGCCUUCUGAACCCACUUUCCGGUGAAAAUGCCGGAAACGCCUAGUGGGAAGCGGAGACCUUGUGGACCUUUACUGCAACUUGUUGUUGUAGCUUUAAGGGGGAUGCAUAGCAUAGGUAGGAGCGUCGAUGCCUAGCUUCGGCGAAAGCGGAGCGACCUUGUAAUACUACCCAUCUUUCUUGAAGUUGCUCACCCGAGAGGGGACACCAGCAGGCAGGCAGUUUGGCUGGGGCGGCACCCUACAGAAAAGAUAUCUGUAGGGCCUAAUGGUGAGCUCAUCCAGGUUGGAAAUCUGGAGUUGAGUGCAGAGGCAAAAGCUCACCUGACUGUGUUUCGCACAGCAAAGAACGCAGAGACGAAAGUCGAGCUCAGCGACCCCACAUGACCUUUUAAUAGGGUCUGUGUGUGACAGAAAAGGUACCCCAAGGAUAACAGGCUCGUCGCGCCCGAUAGCUCACAUUGACGGCGCGGUUUGGUACAUCGCUGUCGGCUCUUCCUAUCCUGGUUGUGCACAAGCAACCAAGGGUGCCGGAGUUCACGCAUUAAAAGGGAUCGUUAGCUGGGUUAAGAACGUAAACAAUGAAGCUAACGAAUAUUCCAACUCGAUAGAGUUGGAGUUCCCACAGAAUAAAAUUCUGCGGUGACCUGUAUCAAAUUGCGGCUAUCAAAAAACGCGGCGUUGCAUGCAAGUAAUUGCAUGAACAAUUAAAUCAGCUCAUAUCGGUGAAACCUUCAUACUCCACACUGUAGUAUGAUGGCAAUACCGAGGGAAGAUGUUUAUAGAAACAAAGAUUUUUAACUUUAGUUUUUUAUAAACCAAUAUGGAUAUAAGAAAUAAAUCUAAUUGGCGAUUACAAACUAAGGACUUUAUUCCUUUCUAUGGAUAUUUUCGUUAUCGUAAAAGAAACGGAAUUCCAAUUGAAGGAGGAACAGUAAAUCUAAAAACUGGAAUUAGAAGUAUUAUUAUACAUAUUUAUGAACUAAUAAUCUUAUUAAUCAUAGGGGUUAUUAUCAUAACUUUCUUUAAUAUAAAACUAUAAAUUAUCCCCGUAGAGACUUCAAUCUUUCCACAAGAAUAGGAAUCGUCAAAUUCCGAUAAGAUUGGGAGUAUUUCUGUAAAAAGAAAUGCUAACACGCUGAUCUCCUACAAAACUUUUUUCUAAAAAGUGUUGUAGGAUGAAGGUAUAGUCCAUACCAUUCCGAAUAAAUAAGGAUGGAGAAAUAUACGCGAGACAGUUUGUAUGAUAUCUACUAGGCGCGCAGUUGUCUGAGUGGAACGACCAUUUAGUACGAGAGGAACGGUGGUCGGGUGCCUCUGGUGUAGCGGUUGUUAUGAGCAGGCCGCGCAGCUACGCACUAAGGGAUAAGUACUGAAAGCAUCUAAGUACGAAGCCCCCCGCAAGACGAGACAACAAAGGCCGUCAUAGAAGAUGACGUUGAUAGAGCUGGUGUGUAAGAUCCAAGAACCCGAGGAUUUAAGCACGCAGCUACUAAUAGCCACAUUUAUUCACCUU